UAAAUGUUCAGGAGAGCGGCUUUUCCGAAAACGAACACCAAUUUUCACGGGAAAUGUCUUAAAAAAAUUCGUUUUUAAUUCCGAUUCACGAAUAUGUCUGGCGCGUUAUCUAAUUUUAUGUAUUUUUGCAAUAAAAACAAUAAAAAAUAUUUCGAUUUUGCACAAUAUUCACGCUAUAAAUGGCAUCACUAUUCGAAAUUCAAUUGAAAACUAGUGAUAAAAGCAGUGAUCGGGUUCGAAAUAUCGAUACUCUCGAUAUUCUAGACUAAACAAAAAUUGAUAAAAAUGAGAGAUAUAUAAUAGAAAAAUAUUAUUAAUUGGAAAAAUAAAAAUAAAUUAAAAUAUCGAUAUUCUCAAUAUUCGAUUUUGAAAGAAAAUUGGUAAAAAUGAGAAAUACACAAUAGAAAAAUAAUAAUAAUUGGGAAAAUAUAAAUAAAUUAAAAUAUCGAUAUUCUCAAAAUUUGAGGCUGAUCGAGAAUUGAAAGAAGAAGAAUUUGGACACAGAAGAAUUUUGAACACCGGGGUUUUGGACCGACCAGGGAUAUUAUUUUUCGAGCGCUCGAAAAAUAAUAUCCCUGGUCGGUCCAAAACCCCGGUGUUCAAAAUUCUUCUGUGUCCAAAUUCUUCUUCUUUCUGCAAUAAUAAUGAAUUAUAAAUUUUCCUAUUAUGUAUUUCUCAUUUUUACCAAUUCUCGAUCAGCCUCAAAUAUUGAGAGUAUCGAUAAUUCGAAAACGAUCAUGAAUCAAUAGUGGCCAUUCGAAUUUACAACAGCUGUGCCAUAAUUUCGAACAUACCUUGCCAUUUUCGUUGAAUUGAAGUGAUUGUAAAGUUUUUCAUAUUUUUAUAAAAAUAACAAAAAAACCUAUUUAUCUUAUUGAUUAACGAAAGAACAUCAAUAAUUACGUGAAUAUAACCUAUAGAAAGUAUAAUUUCAACAUCCAAAGACGUGUAAAGUGCAAAAGUGAAUUUUUGAUUUCGGGAAAUACGAUGUUUUUUGAUAAAAACAAAGAAAAUACUGAUUUUAAAGGCACGCGCCUAACAUAUUCGUAAAUUAGAACUAAAAACGAGUAUUUUAAGACCUUUCCCGUGAAAAUUGGUGCACGUUUUCGGAAAAGCCGCUCUCCUGAACAUUUACCCA